AGAGCUGGAAAGGGCUCGCAGAGAUGAUACAAUGUGGAUUUAAACUUUUCAGGGCCAUAGACACUCUUCAGAAAUUGAUAAAACGUUGACACACCUCGUAAAAUAUGAACACAUCAAAAUUAUGCCCGCAGUUUGAGGUAAUGGAGAAGUAUUGGAGAUUUGUAAGCCAGAAAGUCAAAUGGUAGAGUGGGAUUUUCAGGAGAUCAUUUAGAGAGCAAGAUCUUACCAAAUCCUUUAGUCAUGGUCUGUUUUGUUGCACUCAUAUGGGUGUUACUGCGAAGGUAAAAAACUAAUGACUGCAGCAGGAAAAAGAAUUGGAUGUGUCAUGAAUUAUGGCCCUGUUUAUACUUCUACUUUAACCAUAAUCAUUUGUUUAAACAGAAAGUUCUGCAUUUGAAUUGCCACAAUUGUGUAUGUGUUAUAGGUUCUCGUAUUUCACCCAGGCUCAGCCAACACUUGCUUUUGUUGACACUCAUAAUCGAGAAAUAAAAUCUUAUACUAACAGAAAAUUAUCCUUCAUAAGAGAAUAUAAACAGAAGAGUGGUUCAUAAACAUACUAAUUAAUAUUUCUACUAUCAUUUAUUAACUAACAUUUUUGCUUCAUUUUAAAAUAAGUAAAACUUUACGACAUGCUAAUAA